GACGAACGCUGGCGGCGUGCUUAACACAUGCAAAUCGAACGAUGAAGCCGGAGCUUGCUCUGGUGAAUUAGUGGCGAACGGGUGAGUAACACGUGAGUAACCUGCCCUUGACUCUGGGAUAACUGCUAGAAAUGGUAGCUAAUACCGGAUACGACCCUCGGCGGCAUCGCCAGGGGGUGGAAAGAAUUUCGGUCAAGGAUGGACUCGCGGCCUAUCAGCUAGUUGGUGAGGUAACGGCUCACCAAGGCGACGACGGGUAGCCGGCCUGAGAGGGUGACCGGCCACCCUGGGACUGAGACACGGCCCAGACUCCUACGGGAGGCAGCAGUGGGGAAUAUUGCACAAUGGGCGCAAGCCUGAUGCAGCAACGCCGCGCGAGGGAUGACGGCCUUCGGGUUGUAAACCUCUUUUAGUAGGGAAGAAGCGAAAGUGACGGUACCUGCAGAAAAAGCACCGGCUAACUACGUGCCAGCCGCCGCAGUAA
rnacentral:rRNA from 1 species